GGCUCAGGAUGAACGCUGGCGGCGUGCUUAACACAUGCAAGUCGAACGAAGAUGCCGGAGUGCUUGCACUUUGGCAGACUGAGUGGCGGACGGGUGAGUAACGCGUGGGUAACCUGCCUUAUACAGGGGGAUAACAGUUGGAAACGACUGCUAAUACCGCAUAAGCGCACGGUAUCGCAUGAUACAGUGUGAAAAACUCCGGUGGUAUAAGAUGGACCCGCGUCUGAUUAGCUAGUUGGUGAGGUAACGGCUCACCAAGGCGACGAUCAGUAGCCGACCUGAGAGGGUGACCGGCCACAUUGGGACUGAGACACGGCCCAGACUCCUACGGGAGGCAGCAGUGGGGAAUAUUGCACAAUGGAGGAAACUCUGAUGCAGCGACGCCGCGUGAGUGAAGAAGUAUUUCGGUAUGUAAAGCUCUAUCAGCAGGGAAGAUAAUGACGGUACCUGACUAAGAAGCACCGGCUAAAUACGUG
rnacentral:rRNA from 1 species